rnacentral:rRNA from 1 species
AACGUAGGAGGCAAACGUUAUCCGGAGUUACUGGGCGUAAAGGGCGUGUAGGUGGUUUCGUAAGUCUGGCGUGAAAUAUCUCGGCUUAACCGAGGCAGGUCGUCGGAUACUGCGGAACUAGAGGACGGUAGAGGCGUGUGGAAUUCCGGGUGUAGUGGUGAAAUGCGUAGAUAUCCGGAGGAACACCGGUGGCGAAGGCGGCUUUCUGGACCGACACUGACGCUGAGGCGCGAAAGCUAGGGGAGCAAACGGG